CAGUCGAACGAAACUUCUUUAUCACCGAGUGCUUGCACUCACCGAUAAAGAGUUGAGUGGCGAACGGGUGAGUAACACGUGGGCAACCUGCCCAAAAGAGGGGGAUAACACUUGGAAACAGGUGCUAAUACCGCAUAACCAUAGUUACCGCAUGGUAACUAUGUAAAAGGUGGCUAUGCUACCGCUUUUGGAUGGGCCCGCGGCGCAUUAGCUAGUUGGUGGGGUAAAGGCUUACCAAGGCAAUGAUGCGUAGCCGAACUGAGAGGUUGAUCGGCCACAUUGGGACUGAGACACGGCCCAAACUCCUACGGGAGGCAGCAGUAGGGAAUCUUCCACAAUGGGCGAAAGCCUGAUGGAGCAACGCCGCGUGGGUGAAGAAGGUCUUCGGAUCGUAAAACCCUGUUGUUAGAGAAGAAAGUGCGUGAGAGUAACUGUUCACGUUUCGACGGUAUCUAACCAGAAAGCCACGGCUAACUACGUGCCAGCAGCCGCGGUAAUACGUAGGUGGCAAGCGUUAUCCGGAUUUAUUGGGCGUAAAGGGAACGCAGGCGGUCUUUUAAGUCUGAUGUGAAAGCCUUCGGCUUAACCGGAGUAGUGCAUUGGAAACUGGGAGACUUGAGUGCAGAAGAGGAGAGUGGAACUCCAUGUGUAGCGGUGAAAUGCGUAGAUAUAUGGAAGAACACCAGUGGCGAAAGCGGCUCUCUGGUCUGUAA
rnacentral:rRNA from 1 species